rnacentral:tRNA from 1 species
AUAUAAGAAAUGAUAAAUCAUAUAUGAUUUCGGCUCAUAUUUAGGUGACAACACCCUUAUAUU